rnacentral:rRNA from 1 species
GACAGAGGGGGCAAGCGUUGCUCGGAAUCACUGGGCGUAAAGGGCGCGUAGGCGGGAUGGCAAGUCGGUCGUGAAAUCCUUCGGCUCAACCGAAGAACGUCGGCCGAUACUGCCGUUCUUGAGGGAUGCAGAGGAGACUGGAAUUCCCGGUGUAGCGGUGAAAUGCGUAGAUAUUGGGAGGAACACCAGUGGCGAAGGCGGCUCACUGGACCGGUUCUGACGCUGAGGCGCGAAAGCGUGGGGAGCAAACGGG